rnacentral:rRNA from 1 species
UACGGAGGAUGCGAGCGUUAUCCGGAUUUAUUGGGUUUAAAGGGUGCGUAGGCGGUCACUGUAAGUCAGUGGUGAAAUUUGUAUGCUCAACGUACAAAGUGCCAUAGAUACUGCAGGACUGGAAUAAGGAUGUUGUUGGCGGAAUGUGUAGUGUAGCGGUGAAAUGCAUAGAUAUUACACAGAACACCGAUUGCGAAGGCAGCUGACAAAACCUAUAUUGACGCUGAUGC